UACCGUUGGCCUUGCAUAACGUUAAAUCCGCAUACUGCUACAUUUUAUCGCCAAGAUUUUGCCUCGCAUACCGCUAAAAAGCCGCUCAACGCUGUUCGUCCGAGACGCGUCUAAUGUGCGCCCUUAGCCAGCCUCACAUGUUCCGCCGGUGGCAUUGUUUACCAGCCAGCCUCCGCGGUAACAUCCAAGCAUACAAUUGGAACAUUUCAUAUUAUUACAGUGUUUUUGGUGAUUUUAUCUGCAAAAUAAGUGACCAUGGGCCCCAAGAAAGCUUCUAGUGCCAACCCUACAGCAAUAAGGGUGAGAAUUACUAUAGAGAUGAAGAAAAAGAUCAUUGAUAAGUAUGAAAGUGGAGUGCGUGUCUCCGAGCUGGCCAGGUUGUAUAAUAAACCCCAAUCAACCAUCACUACUAUUGGUGGUACAGCUGCUGCUGCUGCUGUACCACCGUCAGCUGCUGCUGCUGCUGCUGCUGUAGUACCGUCUGCUGCUGCUGUAGCAUCGUCUGCUGCUGCUGUAGCACUGUCAGCUGCUGCUGCUGCUGUACCACCGUCAGCUGCUGCUGCUGCUGUAGCAUCGUCUGCUGCUGCUGUAGCACUGUCAGCUGCUGCUGCUGCUGUACCACCAUCAGCUGCUGCUGCUGCUGUAGCAUCGUCUGCUGCUGCUGUAGCAUCGUCUGCUGCUGCUGUAGCACUGUCAGCUGCUGCUGCUGCUGUACCACCGUCAGCUGCUGCUGCUGCUGUAGUACCGUCUACUGCUGCUGUAGCAUCGUCUGCUGCUGCUGUAGCAUCGUCUGCUGCUGCUGUAGCACUGUCAGCUGCUGCUGCUGCUGCUGCUGUAGCACUGUCAGCUGCUGCUGCUGCUGUAGCAUCGUCUGCUGCUGCUGCUGCUGUAGCACCGUUGUUGGUGUGGCUUAUUGAGAAUACCAAGAAACAAUUAACCCCAGAGGAUUUACCACCCAGGAUAACCAAAAAGUCAGUGUCAUCGAAGACUGUCUAACUUAUUUCCAUUGGGGUCCUUAAUCUUGUCUCCCAGGAUGCAACCCACACCAGUCGACUAACACCCAGGUGAACAGGGAAAAAUGCCUGGAACUAGUGCUCAUAUUGGUGAAUUUAAAGCCAGCAAAGGUUGGUUUGAGAGAUUAAGAAUCGUAGUGGCAUACACAGUGUGAUAAGGCCUGUUCUGGAAGAAAAUACCAAACAGGACCUACAGUACUCAGGAGGAAAAGGCACUCCCAGGACACAGUGUCUCAUCAGUCAUUGCUGCAUCUUCAAUAAAGAAAAUUCAGUGAAGGUGGGUUUUCCAGCAGCAGUUUUCCUGGGACUUGCAGCAGUUCUCUUCAAGGACUCUAUGCAAAAAGGAUGGGAAUUUUUCCCCAAGAUUUAUCACAAGAUGGGCUAUAUUGAUUACAG